rnacentral:rRNA from 1 species
CUGAAAGUAACGCUCAUGGCUCUGGAGAUGAAGGUAAAACACAAAAUGACCGACGCAUGCUUCGACGAGAACAUGUCAUUCUGGCACGAACGUCUUCCCAAGGGGAACAAGUGCCCGACCAGUUUCGAGGAGGCGAAGAAAAUCGUGUGUCCUCUAGAUUUACCGCACGUGAAAUACCAUGUGUGCAUGAACAAUUGCAUCAUUUAUCGGGACGAGCACGCGGAGUCUACCAUAUGUCCGGUGUGCGGCGUCACUCGAUACAAGAAGAGGAAGAAAGCUCCUCGAAAAGUGGUGUGGUACUUUCCGAUCACUCCUCGUCUGCAGCGGUAUUUCGCGGACCCUAAGGUAGCAAAGCUCCUGCGUUGGCACGCGGAUAGGGAGGAGAAGAAGCGAGAAGAUGACACAAAUGAUCCGGAGAUAAAUAAAAAAGACAAGAUGCUGAGUCACCCUAAGGAUGGGAGCCAGUGGCAAGCGUUGAACUUCGAACACCCAAAAUUUGGGAAGGAUCCA